rnacentral:rRNA from 1 species
GACGAACGCUGGCGGCGUGCUUAACACAUGCAAGUCGAACGGAAAGGCCCUGCUGUUGUGGGGUGCUCGAGUGGCGAACGGGUGAGUAACACGUGAGUAACCUGCCCUUGACUUUGGGAUAACUUCAGGAAACUGGGGCUAAUACCGGAUAGGAGCUCCUGCUGCAUGGUGGGGGGUGGAAAGUUUCGGCGGUUGGGGAUGGACUCGCGGCUUAUCAGCUUGUUGGUGGGGUAGUGGCUUACCAAGGCUUUGACGGGUAGCCGGCCUGAGAGGGUGACCGGCCACAUUGGGAUUUAGAUACGCCCCAGACUCCUACGGGAGGCAGCAGUGGGGAAUAUUGCACAAUGGUCGGAAGCCUGAUGCAGCACCGCCGCGUGCGGGAUGACGGCCUUCGGGUUGUAAACCGCUUUCGCCUGUGACGAAGCGUGAGUGACGGUAAUGGGUAAAGAAGCACCGGCUAACUACGUG